GGCUGCUUCCGGAACACUGCUGGCAACAUGAAGGGGAUCCGGGGAAGGAGAUAUAAAUGGGGAGUUUAUAGGUGAGGAGCUUUGACACCAGAACAUUCUACCUUUGGGUAAGACUGAGGUGUUACUUCCGAACAUGAAGAAAGAAAUGUUUUAAAAAACCUACAACAACAUCACAACUGGAAAAUGGUGGAACUCAUAAACAUCUGUACAUGUCCCUUCAUCACAUCUGUGAUUUGCAAGUUCAACUCCUUUAUAAUCAAUGGAGCCUCAUCUAUCUUUUUAUUUGUCAGUGAAUAGAACAAGCUUCACUGUCAAGUGUACCGCUAUAACAAAAACAGCUUCAUAACAAACUAAUUAAAACAGGAAUAAAAUACUCCAGCUAUAAA